rnacentral:misc_RNA from 1 species
GAUGAAGAACGUAGCGAAAUGCGAUACGUAAUGUGAAUUGCAGAAUUCAGUGAAUCAUCGAAUCUUUGAACGCAUAUUGCGCUCUUUGGUAUUCCGAAGAGCAUGCUUGUUUGAGUAUCAGUAAACACCUCAACCUCUUCUUGAUUUUUCAAAAGGAGGGUGGGCUUGAGCUAUCCCAACAACCUUUACCGGUCGGCGGGCGGCUUGAAAUGCAGGUGCAGCUGGACUUUUAUCUGAGCUAAAAGCAUAUCUAUUUAGUCCUCGUCAAACAGGAUUAUUACUUUUGCUGCAGCUAACAUAAAGGAUAAUUGUCCUCUUUGCUGACUGAUGCAGGAUUUUACGACACUUUAUGUGUUGUUCAACUCGAUCUCAAAUCAAGUAAGACUACCCGCUGAACUUAAGCAUAUCAAUAAGCGGAGGA